AUUGAACGCUGGCGGCAGGCCUAACACAUGCAAGUCGAGCGGAUGAAGGGAGCUUGCUCCUGGAUUCAGCGGCGGACGGGUGAGUAAUGCCUAGGAAUCUGCCUGGUAGUGGGGGAUAACGUCCGGAAACGGGCGCUAAUGCCGCAUACGUCCUGAGGGAGAAAGUGGGGGAUCUUCGGACCUCACGCUAUCAGAUGAGCCUAGGUCGGAUUAGCUAGUUGGUGGGGUAAAGGCCUACCAAGGCGACGAUCCGUAACUGGUCUGAGAGGAUGAUCAGUCACGCUGGAACUGAGACACGGUCCAGACUCCUACGGGAGGCAGCAGUGGGGAAUAUUGGACAAUGGGCGAAAGCCUGAUCCAGCCAUGCCGCGUGUGUGAAGAAGGUCUUCGGAUUGUAAAGCACUUUAAGUUGGGAGGAAGGGCAGUAAGUUAAUACCUUGCUGUUUUGACGUUACCAACAGAAUAAGCACCGGCUAACUUCGUG
rnacentral:rRNA from 1 species